GUUCCCCUGCCCUUGAAUCCAGGCUCUCCUGUUGCUUGCUCCAGAGAACAUAGCAGAAGUGAAGGUGAUACUGAGCCAGACCCCUAAGGCGGUGGGUUCCCUCUUUAAGUCACCCCCGGUAACUCGGAAAUCAGAGCUCCCCCCUUUGUGGGGGACAGCACCUUGGUACCACUUCUAGUGGAGAGAGGGUGCGGCGUGGGUAGGAAGUAAUGCAGAAAGUUUUCAGGUCUCCCGUUCAGAACUGGGGAAAAGGGAAACACAGUGGCUCGCUGUUCCUCCUUCUUCAUUGGAAAGGAAGCUCUAGCAAGCUGGAAGACCAAGUGGGAACAGGGACCUCCUCCAUCGCAGUCCAAAGGAGCGCCUGGAUCACGCUUGUCUGGACGUUGAAGCCCUCUGGAGCACUAGGAGAGCCAUGGUGAGCCAGCAGGAGGGGACUGCGCAAGUUGCUGAAAGAGAUUCGUUAAAACCUCGACCAUGGUUACAAAUUUGCCCACUUGUCUCUUUUCUUCUGUCAACUUUCUGCUUCAUGCAGCCCUGUUAUUAGAUGUCCCCGAUUCGAUCGGUGGAAGCCACUUCAAGACAGCUUCUGUAUCCUUCUGACAUGUCCCCAUUAUUCUUUGAGUGCUUCCGUGCAUUCUGGCCCAGGAUGCUCCAGACUUGCCUUGUACUUUCCCUGCCCAGUCCUGGAAUCAGCCAUUCUCUGGGGAUCCCUGCCUUCUUUCUUUGAAACCGUUGUUUAGAAAACAAAAUCUAGGUCUUGCUAAUGAGGUGUAUCCACUCCUGGCUCUGUGUGAACACAGCUUGAGAAUAUGUAUGCAUAUGUAUGCAUACAUAUAGUAUCUAUUAUAUAUCUGUUAUAUAUGCAUAUAUUAUUAUAAUGUA